UACGUAGGGUGCGAGCGUUGUCCGGAAUUAUUGGGCGUAAAGAGCUUGUAGGCGGUUUGUCGCGUCUGCUGUGAAAAUCCGGGGCUCAACCCCGGACUUGCAGUGGGUACGGGCAGACUAGAGUGUGGUAGGGGAGACUGGAAGUUCCUGGUGUAGCGGUGAAAUGCGCAGAUAUCAGGAGGAACACCGAUGGCGAAGGGCAGG
rnacentral:rRNA from 1 species